AGUCAGCUGACGAGUCCUAAAUGGGACGAAACGCAUGUCCUGGAU
rfam:Schistosoma mansoni, Puerto Rico, WGS project CABG01000000 data, contig: 0100